rnacentral:rRNA from 1 species
UACGGAGGGGGCUAGCGUUGUUCGGAAUUACUGGGCGUAAAGCGCACGUAGGCGGCUUUGUAAGUUAGAGGUGAAAGCCCAGGGCUCAACCCUGGAAUUGCCUUUAAGACUGCAUCGCUUGAACAUCGGAGAGGUAAGUGGAAUUCCGAGUGUAGAGGUGAAAUUCGUAGAUAUCCGGAAGAACACCAGUGGCGAAGGCGACUUACUGGACGAUUGUUGACGCUGAGGUGCGAAAGCGUGGGGAGCAAACAGG